UUUUUUUUUUUUUUUUUAAUUUGAAAAUGAAGAUACCUGUCUUGUAGACUCAUGCCUGGGAUUAAUUGGAAGUAUUUAUAUCUAAAACCAUGAAAUACUAGUACAACUCCUUGCCUGUCUUAUUAGUUUCACAAUUAAAUGUCUGUAACUAAAUUAUUAAAAGUUUUUGAACAUCAGCACAUACAAGUUCAUAAGAUUGGUUUAAGCUGCCCACUUUAGUUUUUAUUCAGUAAUUCAGUAGUUAAUAUUUGGUGAAGGAUCAUUGUUGUCCAAAUAUAAAUAAUGCUGUUUUGUAACUCAUCAGUUCAUAGAAUGUGAUUCUUUGUAAGCAGAUUUUCUGGCCCUUUGCAAUCAUUAGAAAAGGCUCUACCUGGAGAUAGAUUUGGAGAUAGUGAGCACACAAUGUGUAUAUUGUAAACCUUUAUCCCUUUUUUCCUUUAGGAAAAAAAAAAAAAAACUAAAGAUGUUCUUUCACUGAAUUUUAUUGGCAGUGGUUCCUAAUGAAAAGACCUUAUCUUUGAGACUAGAAGACAGUCCCCGCAUGUAUAAGAAGACUAGAUUUUUAUUUUGUACCUCUCCUAUCCACAGCUCAGAUUUCAUUCAUCUUUCAGGAAGCCGAAGUAGCAGAAUAUAGGCCUAGAACGGUCCACUAUUGGUCACAUACUUUCCACAUCUCUAAACCAUAAAUAGCCCCUUUACAUUAAAAAAGUCACCUGAGGGAGUGCCCUGGGCUGGUGGUUGGUUGCUUGCUUGCUUGCUUGCUUAUUUAUUUAUUUAUUUAUUUAUUUAUUUAUUUAUUUAUUUGAUUUUAUUUAUUCAUGAGAGACACAGAGGCAGAGACACAGGCAGAGGGAGAAGCAGGCCCCAUGGGGGGAGCCUGAUGGGGGACUCAAUCCCGGGACCCCAGGAUCACACCCUGGGCCAAAGGCAGGCACUAAACUGCUGAGCCACCCAGGGAUCCCUACGCUUCUUGUUGCAUAUUUAGUUAUUUAUAUAUUCUGCAUGUAAAUUCUUUGUCUAAUGUGAUUUGCAGAUAUUUCCUCCAUACUGUGACUUGUGCUUUCAUUCUUUUAAUAUGUAUAUUUUAUAGAGCAAAAGUUUGUAAUUUUGAUGGUCUAAUUUAUAUUUUUCUUUUAUGAAUCUUUUUGUGUAUCUUAUCUAAAACUUAUUAGAUAAUACCAGAUCAUAAAAUAUUCUAUUUUUAAAAGUUUACAGCUUUUCAUUUGUAUAUAGAUAGAUAUGUUAUUCAUUUUGAGCUAAGUUUUUUAAGAUAUAAAGUUUAAGACUAGGUUCCUAAUUUUCUUCUUUUUUUUAGUUAACAUUCAGUUGUCCAAUUAUUCUAACAUCAUUUGUUGAAAAGACUCUUUAUUGAAUUUAAACCUUUGUCAAAAAUAAGUUCUUCACAUUUAUGUAGCUCUAUUUCUGGACUCUGUUGUGUUCUAUUGAUCUAUGUGUCUGUCAGUACCACACUGUCUUGAUUACUGUAGUUUAAUAGUCUUGAAAUCUAGUAGUGUGAGUUUUCCAGCUUGAUCUCUUUUAUAAAAAUUGUUUUCUAUUCUGAUUCCUUUGCUUUACUAUAUAUUUUAGAAUUAGCUUGUCUGUAUCUAUAAAAGUCCUGCUAGGGUUUUGAGUGGAAUUGUGUUAAAUGUAUAGAUCAAUUUGGGGAGAAUUGACCUCUUAAUACUGUGUAGAGUCUUCUAAUCUAUGAACAUUGUAUGUCUCUCCAUUUAUUUCAGUCGUCUUUGAUUUCUUUUAUCAGUGUCAUGUAGGUUUCAGAAUACAGAUCCUGUAUACAUUUUGAUGGAGUUUCAUCCAAGUAGUUCAUUUUUGUGGUAUUUUAAAAUUGUUCAUUGCUAUUAUAUAGAAAUACUUUUGGUUUUUGCAAAAGAAAAUAAAAAAGGCAUUUUUUUUCUUGCUGUGCAUUGAAACCCCUUUUCUGCUCCUUGACUCUGAACCACAGGGCUUUUUCUUGUACUCUUUGCAUUCAUUGUCUGCUUCUGAGAUUUGGGCUGCCUUGAAUCCUGGCUGUGAUAUAGUGGAGAGAAAAAAAUUAAGUCACUGCCAAUUCAUUGGUGCUUUUGAAUUCUGGUCUUCUCCAAUCCACCUACUUCAGUUUAAUUUCAGAGACCUCAAAUUGUUCCUUCAUGUAUUUUGAGUUUCUUAGCUGUGUUGUCUUAGAGAAGGUGUAAUGUGUGUUUAUCUUUCCUGAAACAACCAAGACCACUCUCUCUCUCUAGCAGAAACCAAAAAUGGUUUUUUACAAUCACAUCUCAAAUUUUGUUUACUCUUAGCAGGAAGUCCACCUAUGUUUUGAGAUCUUGUAAUGUUUCUCCCUUGUCUACUCCCUGUUAGGAAAAUUAUAAUACAACUCUUUUCCCAAGCUGAAUACUUUGGAAUAGUUUUAUUUAUAGUCUUAUAAUAUUAAGAGAAAAUAGAAAAAUUUUGACUUGAGUAAAUUAUAAUUGAAGAUGAAAUGUCAGAGUAACAUUCAUGAUGACAUUCCUCAAGAGAAGCUAUGGUUAUAUCUGAAAAAUUGUUUGAAUUCAGACUACUUCUGCUCACAGCCUUCACAAACUUCAGAAAGGAUUGGAGGAUUGAUAUUUUAAAAACAAAUUUGUGUGAAACAAAUUGAUAUUACAGACUUAAGUUUUAUGUAAGUGAUGAGACAUAGAGACAGAUACAUUAAAGAAGGAAUACAAUCCAGAAAUUUGCAUGAGCGUCAGAUUUUCUUUUUUAUUCACUGCUUAAAAAAAAAAAAAAAAAGGCUGAUUUAUAUAGCCAGAAA
rnacentral:lncRNA from 1 species